CCUACGGGAGGCAGCAGUGAGGAAUAUUGGUCAAUGGACGAGAGUCUGAACCAGCCAAGUAGCGUGAAGGAUGACUGCCCUAUGGGUUGUAAACUUCUUUUAUAUGGGAAUAAAAUGUUCCACGUGUGGGAUUUUGUAUGUACCAUAUGAAUAAGGAUCGGCUAACUCCGUGCCAGCAGCCGCGGUAAUACGGAGGAUCCGAGCGUUAUCCGGAUUUAUUGGGUUUAAAGGGAGCGUAGGUGGAUUGUUAAGUCAGUUGUGAAAGUUUUGGGCUCAACCGUAAAAUUGCAGUUGAAACUGGCAGUCUUGAGUACAGUAGAGGUGGGCGGAAUUCGUGGUGUAGCGGUGAAAUGCUUAGAUAUCACGAAGAACUCCGAUUGCGAAGGCAGUUCACUGGACUGCAACUGACACUGAGGCUCGAAAGUGUGGGUAUCAAACAGGAUUAGAUACCCCUGUAGUC
rnacentral:rRNA from 1 species